rnacentral:piRNA from 1 species
UACAAUAUCCUCUUUAGGCGAAUGUCGGU